GACGAACGCUGGCGGCGUGCUUAACACAUGCAAGUCGAGCGGUAAGGCCCUUUCGGGGGUACACGAGCGGCGAACGGGUGAGUAACACGUGGGUGACCUGCCCUCAGCUCUGGGAUAAGCCUGGGAAGCCGGGUCUAAUACUGGAUAUGACUCCAUGAACGCAUGUUGUGGGGUGGAAAGCCUUGUGCGGCUGAGGAUGGGCCCGCGGCCUAUCAGCUUGUUGGU
rnacentral:rRNA from 1 species